GCUAUCCAUUUUCCACCCUCUUUCUCUCUCUGCGGAAACCAAGCCCAGGUUUCUUCGAGGUAUGAAAAACAUUCUCAGCUCCUAAAAGAGACUUCUGUUUUGCAAGAAUUCAUUCUUUUUCCGUUUCUCUCAUUUCAAUGCUUCCAAAUUCCUGAUCAAUUAUUGUUCUUUCUUCUAUCUUUUUAGUCCAUUAAUGGUUUGUGAUCAGCUCUUUGUUUUAAAGCAGUUUGAUGAACAAGUUUAAAGAUAUUAUCAUGGACGCUAUCAUCGCUAAAACUGGCAUGGUUGACAGCAUAAUCCUAAGGAUAUUCUGCAGAAGAGAAAUCUUGAUGGACAAUGAUCAAUCCUUGGCAAGCUUCUUCAUAGCAAAGGCUUGUUGACCUGUCUUUUGGUGCUAUCCUACCUGAGCUUAUUAAAAAAACCACCCCCCUCUUCUUCACCUUGUUCCCUCUUUCUCCCUCCCACCAUAUUCUCUUCUUGACCUUGUAAGGCCUUUUCUGAACCUUGUAAGACCCCUGGCGAAAUCUGCUACUCUCUUUAUUAUUAUCUUGAAGGAUUCUUUACCAGAAUUCUUAUUUAGAGAGCUAAGCAAUUAGCAUCCGCUGUUCCCACCUAACCCACCAUCUCCUUCUCUGUCUAUCCCUCCUGAGCUAUAUAACAAGCAAAUCAUACUGCAGUGAAACCUAGGGUUUCCAUAUGUCAAAAUCCCCUAUAUAUAUCAGAAUUCAGAGUAAGCCAUUACCAUUGCCAUUGCAGCAGCUAGCUUAUAGCUUUAAAAGUGGCAUGGAAUGUCAAGUUUCAAUGUUAUGGCCUCAUGGUCAUGGGUUAUUCGUUGCUUUUAUUGUAAUAUAAAUAGAGGCAAAAAAAAAAAAUAGUGACAGAGAGUACUGAAAUGAUUGUGAGGCUUUUGCUCAUAAUCUAUCGUGGUUGUAGCAUCUUUUGUACACAUCUGAGAAAGCAUUAAAUCUCACUUUGUAUUAUUAUGACUGCAGGAAAUAGAAUUCAUGCCGGCAAUAGAGUUGUCAGAUUGUUUGA